rnacentral:rRNA from 1 species
UACGAAGGGGGCUAGCGUUGUUCGGAUUUACUGGGCGUAAAGCGCACGUAGGCGGAUCGUUAAGUCGGGGGUGGAAUCCUGGAGCUCAACUCCAGAACUGCCUUCGAUACUGGCGAUCUUGAGUCCGGAAGAGGUGAGUGGAACUGCGAGUGUAGAGGUGAAAUUCGUAGAUAUUCGCAAGAACACCAGUGGCGAAGGCGGCUCACUGGCCCGGUACUGACGCUGAGGUGCGAAAGCGUGGGGAGCAAACAGG